rnacentral:rRNA from 1 species
CCUACGGGGGGCAGCAGUGGGGAAUAUUGGACAAUGGGGGGAACCCUGAUCCAGCCAUGCCGCGUGUGUGAAGAAGGCCCUCGGGUUGUAAAGCACUUUCAGUGAGGAAGAACGCCUGGUGGUUAAUACCCAUCAGGAAAGACAUCACUCACAGAAGAAGCACCGGCUAACUCCGUGCCAGCAGCCGCGGUAAUACGGAGGGUGCGAGCGUUAAUCGGAAUUACUGGGCGUAAAGCGCGCGUAGGUGGCUUGAUAAGCCGGUUGUGAAAGCCCCGGGCUCAACCUGGGAACGGCAUCCGGAACUGUCAAGCUAGGGUGCAGGAGAGGAAGGUAGAAUUCCCGGUGUAGCGGUGAAAUGCGUAGAGAUCGGGAGGAAUACCAGUGGCGAAGGCGGCCUUCUGGACUGACACUGCCACUGAGGUGCGAAAGCGUGGGUAGCAAACAGGAUUAGAUACCCGUGUAGUC